rnacentral:rRNA from 1 species
AUUGAACGCUGGCGGCAGGCUUAACACAUGCAAGUCGAGCGAGUGGCGGACGGGUGAGUAAUGUCUGGGAAACUGCCUGAUGGAGGGGGAUAACUACUGGAAACGGUAGCUAAUACCGCAUACCAUCAGAUGUGCCCAGAUGGGCUUAGCUUGUGGGUGGGGUAAAGGCUCACCCAGGCGACGCUCCCUAGCUGGUCUGAGAGGAUGACCAGCCACACUGGAACUGGGGCACGGUCCAGACUCCUACGGGAGGCAGCAGUGGGGAAUAUUGCACAAUGGGCGCAAGCCUGAUGCAGCCAUGCCGCGAGUAUGAAGAAGGCCUUCGGGUUGUAAAGCACUUUCAGCGAGGAGGCGUUACUCGCAGAAGAAGCACCGGCUAACUCCGUGCCAGCAGCCGCGGUAAUUC